rnacentral:lncRNA from 1 species
CCUUUCUCUAUUUUCAAAUGCUUGGCAGAUAUAAAUUGGUCACAGAUAAGUCCUACACCAAGCGAGACAACUAUGGUAUUUAAGCGGAGAUAGGCGAACCCAUUAUCCCGGAGUUUCAGAGGUUGUGGUCAGCUCCAAACAAAUUUCUAUAUUGCUGACACUACAAUAUUUGCAUCUGAUAAGCAUAACAUAUGGCGUG